rnacentral:rRNA from 1 species
AUGAGAAUGCCUAAUCCCAAGGAGGUGGAUCGUGCUUUGUUUGUAGAAUUUAUUAAGCUCAAAAAGUGUGGUGUGAGUGUCAAAUUCUCUCCCUGGUCGGAAGAUAUGGAUGCUGAGGGGCUACUUGAGGUGGCUUGGGUCAGAAUUGGGAAAAUCCCACCUAACAAACGCAAUGAUAAAACUGUGGCUUAUGUUGGAGGUCUUGUUGGGGUCACUCUAGAAGUUGACAUGUCCACUUUGAACCAUCCCACCUCUGUUAGGGCUAAAAUCGGCUGUAGAUUUGUGGAUCAGCUGCCUGCCACGGCCGAGGGGAUGUUAGGGGGACGCUUUUAUAAGUUCACUUAUGAGAUUGAAGAGGUUUUGGUGAGGAACCCUAUGGAGGAAGGCAAAGGGACUGCUAUGCAAAAUGACAAUGUUAACAAAACUGAUCAAACGCCCAAACACAAAAGGACUGAUCACGAACUGGCUGCUGAACAGCUAGAUGCCUCUAUUUCUGAAAAUCCUGGCACUUCUUUCCGUGGUGGCAAAACCUGUCGUUUGCUAUCACAGGGAAAUGAAGACUCAUCAUCGUCUGAGAGCGACGACAACUCCCUGCUGAUUGAAUCAAUGACCAGGGAUCAUGAAGAAGGUGCUCAGUAG